UACGUAGGGCGCAAGCGUUGUCCGGAAUUAUUGGGCGUAAAGAGCUCGUAGGCGGUUUGUCGCGUCGAAUGUGAAACCCGGGGCUCAACCCCGGGCCUGCAUUCGAUACGGGCAGACUAGAGUUCGGUAGGGGAGUCUGGAAUUCCUGGUGUAGCGGUGAAAUGCGCAGAUAUCAGGAGGAACACCGGUGGCGAAGGCGGGUCUCUGGGCCGAUACUGACGCUGAGGAGCGAAAGCGUGGGGAGCGAACAGG
rnacentral:rRNA from 1 species